AAAUAAAUGAAGAAGAGAGGAGUGCUUAUGGCGGCGAGUGGCCGAAAAUCGCCCGCCAGACUUGUCCUCUUUUUCGUUGCCUGGCACGCGAGUACGCCUCUCGUCAGCAGCGAAGUCAGGACGUCUGACGUGCCAUUUGAACGACUGGCCUUUUGGAACACCGUUCUUGGAUCCCCUCGUCGUGACCGAUCGCACCUCGGAGGAGGAUACGAUGAGCACUCGCGUCAUUGGCGUUCCUACGUCCAGUUACUUCUUCUAGAACUCAACAAGUCACAAGACGAGGAAAGUCAUCUUUACGAAGAAUGGCGAACACAAGUUACUAGCAAACUUUUGAGCCUCCUCGAAUGGAAUCCUGUGGACGAGGUCCCGGAAGAUUUGAUAAAUAAUCUCGCCAGCGACAUCGAUGAUGAUCAUCACGGGCGUCGAAGACGUGUACUCUCCCGCGAUAUGCCGUCACGCGAUAGGGUAAUUUAUCGAGAUACCCGGAUAGCGCCAUCAUUUCUGGGUUUUAUCAUCUCGGGAUAUUCCGACGUACCAUCAACUGGUACUAGCGAGGUACUAAGAGGUCGGCGUCUUGAGAACACGACGAAACGUCAAUUAUGAUUCCAAUGUGAUUCACGAGAAAUCAUGUAAGCAUCAACCAAAUCUCCCGCGAAAAAAAAAAAAAAAGACCUCGUGUGACAUUUGGAUGGGCGCUCACCGUGAUUGUGUAAGCAAUAUAAACGUAUAAUUAACAUCA